UCCCUGAUCUCUCAAGGAUUCCAGCCAUGUCAAGGGUAGGUAAGGUUUUUCGCGUUGCAUCGAAUUAAUCCACAUCAUCCACCGCUUGUGCGGGUCCCCGUCAAUUCCUUUGAGUUUUAAUCUUGCGACCGUACUCCCCAGGCGGUCUACUUCACGCGUUAGCUGCGUUACCAAGUCAAUUAAGACCCGACAACUAGUAGACAUCGUUUAGGGCGUGGACUACCAGGGUAUCUAAUCCUGUUUGCUCCCCACGCUUUCGUGCAUGAGCGUCAAUCUUGACCCAGGGGGCUGCCUUCGCCAUCGGUGUUCCUCCACAUAUCUACGCAUUUCACUGCUACACGUGGAAUUCUACCCCCCUCUGCCAGAUUCUAGCCUUGCAGUCUCCANUGCANUUCCCAGGUUGAGCCCGGG
rnacentral:rRNA from 1 species